rnacentral:rRNA from 1 species
GAGUAACGCGUAAUCAACCUGCCCUUCAGAGGGGGACAACAGUUGGAAACGACUGCUAAUACCGCAUACGAUCUAAUCUCGGCAUCGAGGAUAGAUGAAAGGUGGCCUCUACAUGUAAGCUAUCACUGAAGGAGGGGAUUGCGUCUGAUUAGCUAGUUGGAGGGGUAACGGCCCACCAAGGCGAUGAUCAGUAGCCGGUCUGAGAGGAUGAACGGCCACAUUGGGACUGAGACACGGCCCAG